UACUCCCGGAAGCGCUGGGACGGGUGGUGAGGGGCCCGGGCAGGUGGCGCGCCUUAGAGAGGAUGCUGUUCCUGCUGCUUUCCGUGCGUGUUUUCUGAAAGGUUGGAGGAGAUUAGGUGUCUCUCGGGCUGACAUUUGAAGGUCUGGAGCUGGCCGUUUAUGAGGGUUUAUAAGGGUUUUAAGUGCUCCGGCCAUGGGCACCAACCCGAUCUUCCAGCCCCUGCGGACGGACCGCCUCCCCCGCCCCGGGGGGAUUGGCUGCUCUGGGACCCCGAGCCCAGAGGACGGUGAGAAGCUGACAAACAUACAGACCAGAAGAGGAGUUUGGGGCUUGACACCUGACAUCUUAACACCAGUUCCUGUUUCUUGAGGAAGGAAGAGGUAAAAUAAAUCAGCGUUUUCUGUGUCCUUCUCCAUCCCCGGAAGUCCUCAUGAAGACCCUCUCAGCUUCAACUUGAACGUGAAUAUGAGCAGCUGAUCAUCUGUUCUGCAGUCAGCCCCUGGCCAGAUUCUGACUCAUGAUAUUGACCUUCUCCAUCAUCACCUUCCACAAAUUUGAUUCCUGUCUAUUCUGCCUGGAAUGGUUCACGAGUAUAGUCACCGUUUAUGCUCCUGAUGAAAGGCGGGACGCCCCUCCUGUGCUGUCCUCAGAAGGGCUCUUCAGGGACCACACCCCUAGUUUGCGGAGCGGCAGAGCCUGCCCCAGUCUGGACUAGGGACUUUAUUUCUUCCACUCUCACCACUGGCUGAAGGCAGACUCCUGUCUCCACAGACUAAAGAGGAAUUAUCAAAAUGAGCUCGAAACUCUAGAUUUGAGUUAAGGAUCAUAAAUUAACACAGAGAAAUACAACUUUAACAACAAAGACCUGUUUGGAGCCCCAGUUGGAAUUAAAAAAAAAAAAUCUUGAACAGAGGGAGUGAUAAAGGCUUCCUUCUUUUGCCAUCCUCUCUCGGUGGUCCCAAGCUUUCUCAUCUCCCACCUCACAAGACUGUAUCAACUGCUUUGAGACUUUUAGAAUAAAGAUCCCCAGGCAUAUCACUGCUGUUACCCUGUGAGGAUUUCCCCAGUGCUGGGUUAGACUAAGACAGAAUCCUUCCAAGGCUUCCAGGGCCAGUGUACUGGACGGUCAACACACAGAGCCUCAGAGCCCACUUCAUUUUUCCUGCAGUUGGGCAUGACCCCAGGGACAUGACCCUUGAGAGUGCUGACACUUCCUGAAGCCAGUGACCCUCCCCCUGGGCUUCUCUCUGCCUGGGUCUCAGAAUCUCUGAGGCCAACUUGUACCCUCGGAAGUGUUUCUGCUGAAGGACACGUAAACAGCACUGUGGAUUUGUGUCCUGCAGUCUGCAAAACUGCCUCCCCUGAGUGGGGUGAGGAGCUACUGGAAUACUGAAACAUUGAAAUCAUUAAAACUAGCAGAAGCCACAGCCCAUGGUGCUGGGAGAAAACUGGGAAGGACGGAGAGGUGAAGAGGCUAUAAAGGCCCAGGUGUGAAGGCGACCAUGGGCCAGGAUGUCCUGAAGUCGCAAAGCUGACCAAUGCUGAGUGCCCUAAAAGCUGCCACUCCUGUGCCCAUCUUUUCUUUCAAUGGACAAAGUCUUUCCCUGCUCUUAUGUGCCUGGGCUGGAAGGGCCUUUGACUUAGAACAUGAAGCAGCCUCCAGAGCCUCUUGGGGCAAGUGAUGGUCAAGGAGGCUCUGCCUAACCCCACCCUGCCCUUCCCAGUUGUCAGAGGACCAGGAAUUUCAGUCUUCCAACUCCUGGGCUGAUCUAGUGACUCAUAACAGGAUUUCACUGGAACUGGAAGGUGUUGAAGACAGGAAGUGCUCCUGGGUUUCUUCACCCAGCUGAAUGCCUAGUUCCUGGUCUUAUUACACGGCUUACAUUCAGGAUAAGAAGAGGCGUUUGGAGCUUUACGCAUGACCUCUUAGCAGCGGUUUCUGUUCAGGAGCAAAGAGGUAAAAAGAAAGCAGUGUCUACUAAGUCCUUUUCCAAGAGUCUCAGGAAAUUCUCACGAAGACCCUCUCAGGACAUGCUAAAUACAGAAAAUAUCCUGCAAGCACUGGAUCAACUCUUAUCCAGAAAUGGAAAACACCCAGGAGGAUUUUGCUACACCAGCUCCCCCUUCCACUCCCCUAAUCCUAAUCGUAAACCCAAAUUCACCCUGUGAGGACAGAAGACAUGACUGGGAGUGACAGACUCUCCUGCGAGGGACAGGGUCAGAGACGGAGGAAGCGAGGGCUUUCAGGCGAGGUGAAUUCUGAAGUCUCCUGAUGAUCAAACAGAAAGCCCUGGAUGAUCAGAGGUACAAGAGAGUGAGGGGGCUGGCAUUCCCACAGUGGCCAUAGGCUGGCUGAGGGGGUCCUACUGUCCCUGGAGCUAUUGGUCAAAAUAUUUUUCCUUAAAAGCUGCAUCUUUCCAGUUAACUUCCUCUAUGUUCAGUCCAGGAAAAGGUGUAGCAUGCAAAGGGUACGUUUUCCAGCAGAGCAACAAGUGGAAGGAAGUGGUAGUGGCAUAUCAGGGAAAGAGAAUCUUCUAGAGGCACAUGAGUUACCUAGUGAACUGCAUGUGGUGUCCAGCCUUCCUCCUUUAUCUGUAGACAUGUACUUGCAGGAGAUGUUUGAGGAGUAACUUCAUGGACCCUUACAAAAUUCUCGCUGGUCAU